UACGUAGGGUCCGAGCGUUGUCCGGAAUUAUUGGGCGUAAAGGGCUCGUAGGCGGUCUGUUGCGUCGGGAGUGAAAACUUACAGCUUAACUGUGAGCGUGCUUCCGAUACGGGCAGACUUGAGGUAUUCAGGGGAGAACGGAAUUCCUGGUGUAGCGGUGAAAUGCGCAGAUAUCAGGAGGAACACCGGUGGCGAAGGCGGGUCUCUGGGCCGUAACUGACGCUGAGGAGCGAAAGCAUGGGGGAGCGAACAGG
rnacentral:rRNA from 1 species